AGUUUGCCCGUGGGUGUGUGAAGAGAAACAAUCAGUGUGGAGGCCACAAGGGACUCACCAGGAUGAGCAGCACCUUAGCUAAAAUUGCGGAGAUAGAAGCUGAGAUGGCUCGGACUCAAAAGAACAAGGCCACAGCACACCACCUAGGGCUGCUUAAGGCUCGUCUUGCUAAGCUUCCUCAAGAACUCAUUACUCAAAAGGGUGGUGGUGGUGGAGGUCCAGGAGAAGGUUUUGAUGUGGCCAAGACAGGUGAUGCUCGAAUUGGAUUUGUUGGUUUUCCAUCUGUGGGGAAGUCAACACUGCUUAGUAACCUGGCAGGGGUGUAUUCUGAGGUAGCAGCCUAUGAAUUCACUACUCUGACCACCGUGCCUGGUGUCAUCAGAUACAAAGGUGCCAAGAUCCAGCUCCUGGAUCUCCCAGGUAUCAUUGAAGGUGCCAAGGAUGGGAAAGGUAGAGGUCGUCAAGUCAUUCCAGUGGCCUGAAACUGUAACUUGAUCCUGAUUGUUUUGGAUGUCCUGCAACCCUUGGGACAUAAGAAGAUAAUUGAAAAUGAACUGGAAGGCUUUGGCAUUCGCUUGAACAGCAAACCCCCCAACAUUGGCUUUAAGAAGAAGGACAAGGGAGGCAUUAAUCUCACAGCCACUGUGAGUGGGGAAGACUACAUGGGCAGGCUGCUGCAGGAAUUAGAGUUGGGAGUGAUGUGCAUGGACAUUGACGUUGGAAAAUUUCCUGGCUUUUCCCUGUACUAA